UUAGGGUUUAACAGAAUGUUUCUGAGAGUGAGUUUCAGUAAGACGAUUUUGAGAAUGGACAUUCGCUGGAGUUGAUAAAGCUGUUUCUGUAUCGACUGAAAAGUGUACUUGCUAUAGAAAUCAAAGGAUAACUGAAUAAUCGCAAGAUAUGCAAGGAAUGCAUAGGAGAAAAAGAGAAAGCAGAGAGCCAGAAAGUUAAAAUGCAGAAAUUAAGUUAUUGCAAUGAAGACAGAAAUUCUGAUACGUGCAAAGGAAGCUCCACAAUCUGUUCCUGAUGCUUCUCGUGCAGUUUCUGAGCCAGAUAGGCGCUCCUGGAAGACUUUACAUGGCAACUCAGUAAAAUUAAAAGUGUCUGGUUCCAUGUCAAUCUGUUAGUUGAAAAUGAUGGCUUGUGAAUCAUUUGGGGUAAGAUUCUUAUUGACGGAUUCCUUCGCAUGAAAAGAAUGAUGCUGCUUUUGAAAUGUGCCCUUAGCUUCUCACCUGAUAGGUGGACAGCGGUUUAGCUUCUCCCAAGCCAAAGAUCUGUGUCCCACCAUGUCCAUAUGCUGGUAUUAUGUGGUCAGUCUGGCUUGAAAGGAAUGAAAGGUCUUUCAGUGAAACUGAUCAAAAUAAAAAUAAAAAAGGAAGGUCUUGCAGUGAAAAAGAAAAGCCUCCAGAAGCAACUUCAAGGACCCACAAGAUCACUUAUUUGCUGUCGAUUUCAGUUGUAAUGUGCAACUCACGGCAGAUGAGAAUAAAGCAAUCAGUGAUAUUCCUACUCAAGAGGAGAUUUGGCAAGUGCUCAAGAAGAUGGGGUCUCUCAAAUCACCAGGACCAGAUGGCAUGCCUCCAAUCUUCUUCAAGAAAUGCUGGGAUAAAGUUGGAAAUGAGGUAACAUCUCUAAUCAAACACUGCUUUGCUUCUUCUAGUAUUCCAGAAGGCUUGAAUCACACUAAUCUAGUCUUGAUUCCUAAAGUUAAAAACCCCUCUAAACCAGUGGAAUAUAGACCCAUAGCUUUAUGCAAAAUUCUUUACAAAAUUGUGGUCUAAAUAAUUGCACAGAGACUGAAACCCAUGCUUGACAAUUUGGUAGGCAAAUCUCAGUAUGCUUUUGUGCCAGGUAGAUUAAUUCUGGAUAACAUAUUAACUGCCAAAGAAUUAAUCCACUCCACGAACCAGUCUAACUCUAUUCUUGGAGCUUAUGCGCUUAAAAUUGAUAUAAGUAAAGCGUAUGAUAGAGUUUCCUGGAGUUUCUUAGGUCAAUGUCUCAGAGCAUAUGGUAUAAAUGGUGAUACUCAUCAUGAACUGUGUAACUACAGCUUCUUUCUCUGUUAUAUAGUUAAUGGAACCCCUGAAGGGCAUUUUGUAAGUGGGAGAGGGCUGAGACAGGGAUGCCCUCUCUCAGCUUAUCUAUUUAUUUUAUGUGCUCAGGGUUUAUCAUGGAUGAUUCGCAAAAUGGAAGCGAGUAGUCUCCACAACGGGUACAGAGUAAAUAAAUGGGCUCCAUCAAUAUCUCACCUCAUGUUCGCAGAAGACCUAUUGUUCUUCGGCUCACUUGAUGACAGAACUCUUCAAAGCCUUCAAGACGUCCUCUUUGUUUAUGCCAAAUGGUCCUGAAAACAAGCAAAUCUGGAGAAGUCAGCUAUUAUGUUCAGCAAAGGAGUCGGUGCAGUGAGACGAAGGCCAGUGGCAGAAAGUCUGGGAGUUAAACAAAUGGAAGUCAAUGAUAAAUAUCUGGGGUUUCAUCUUCUGAAGUCAGCCUUCAGAAUCGACUCUUAUAACUUUUUAUUCGAGAAGAUUGAAAACAAGCCUACCGGCUGGAAGAGGAUAUAUCUCACACAUGCUGGGAAGACCAUCCUUAUCAAACAUGUGUUGGGGCUGAUACCUCCAGACUACAUGGCCACGUCACUCCUCUCUAAAGCUGUAAUUGCAAAGUUGGAACGAAUCAUUCACAACUUCUGGUGGGGUCACAACUAUACCACCAGAAAAACUCACUUCAUAAAUUGGAAUAGAUUCUUAGAUGAGAAAGUGAAUGGUGGUCUAGGCAUAAGAUCUCUGACUCACCUAAACAGAGCUCAGAUAGCUAAAUUGGGUUGGAAAAUUCUUGAAGAUGAGAACUGCAUGUGGGGCGCAAUCAUGAAAGCUAAGUACUUCAGAGAUGAGUCUUUUGAUGUGCAUCAAAGCCUUAAUCACGGAUUCAUACUUAUCAGAAAGAGAGUGUACCGGAUAUAAAGCCGUCCUAGAUUGUUUCAUCAUAGUUUUUUAAUACAACAAGUAGUUUAUUAAAAUCUAGGUGCUCUGUCAUAGGUGUACUUUUCUUAAUGUUGCAUCGAUACGAAUUUCUCUUAAGAUAUAUCCAUUGGCUUCGUUCCUCACUAAGUAUUCCUACUUUAGGUUUUCCCAAAGCUGCCGGAAGUGCCUUGGUGAUAAUGAACUCUUAUUGUUGUUUCUAAACACUCUCGAGUUGAACCAAGAGAUAACUUAUUGAUCUUG